CAGUUAUACAAGGGUCCAGGAGGUAAUCAUGAGACGAGAUGCAGGCAAAAUAGUGUCAAAUGGGAAGAGAGAUUUCUGAAGGAUAACUUAAAAAAAUCAGCCACCUGUCAAUCUAAAAAGUGGUUUCAUCGGUACAGAAAUUCCUAAUGAGGGGACCUCCCAGGAUCAGAAUGCCAGCAUGUCUGAGGCAGAGAAGCCACCCUUUGACACUGGAAACUCAGUGGUCCUAACCCUAAAGCUCUGCAAGAAAUUGAGUUGGAUCCUCAGGAGCAGAGGGGCUAAACAGAUCCAUGUUGUCAGCUUCCUUAGCCAAUUGCAUCUGCCAAAAAUCUCAUGUUUGAUUUGCACACACACAGUAUAUUUCCAAACUAAAAAAAGUAAAAAGAACUGAAAAUCGUAUGCAGAAAAACAGCUGUACUCAUUUGUGCUGUUAACCAGCUGAGUCAGCCCCUGAAUCGAGCCCUAAUUAAUUUGUGCACACGGUGUAGCCAACAAAGAGUGACAACAGACAGAAGAAUGGACUGUGUUGAGGGGGCUUAGUCUCUAACAGAAAAGAUGCCUGAGAAAGGGAGCUUGAUGACAGCUAAUUGCUGCCCAAAGGACCAAAAUAAUGGGCAGCCUGGGAGAGACAGAAAAAAGAAGGGGUUGGUGGAAGUAGUCAUCAGGUGUUUGCAGUGAUUAAGUUCAUUGUCCACACUGUUUACUUUGGUGUUCAGCAUUAAUGUCCAUUUGGAACUGGCACAGUAAGGAGCCUUGUUAAAAUAAUAAGAUCUUAGUGUGCGAUGUACUGAUGGAGUCAGAACUCCA